UGCGCAUGACUCUAUACAUUGCAUCACCCUGCACUGAUGCCCGUUAAACCUCUUGCACAAUGUCCUAGAAACGAGGAUAGGAUAGCCAAAACUUCUUGAAUCUAAAAUGGCUGACAUAAGGGGUCGUGGCUGAGGUACUCACCAAUAUAGGACAGUGGUCUGACGCAAUCCAAGGCAAGUAGCUCACUUGGUGGUCCGACCACCUCUGCAUCCAGUUGGGCAUGGUGAAGACCCUAUCAAUCCAUUCCCAUACUCUUGCUUAGCCUAAUUUGUUGUUGCACCAAAUGUAGUGCUAUCCAGUGAACCCCAUAUCCACCAAUCCAUUGACCAUGAUGAAUUUCUAGAACUCCUUGACUACAAUCUUGUUAGUGAAGGCCUUGUCUCCACACUUCUCCAGAGGGCUGUCGAUAUGGUUGAAGUGUCCCACCAUAAUAGCAGGAAAGCCUUGCUGAAUCAAGCAUGCUACCUUACCCCAUAGCUCCCUCCUUUCUCUCUAGUCAGUGCUAGCAUAAACACCUGGUAGAACCCAAGGUCUAUCAUCUCCUUGCAAAAUAACCAAUACAACCUGUUGGCUAUAUUUGUUGAAGAAAUCCAAUUUACAACUCCCCACCCUCCAUGUUACGAUGAUCUCACCCGAGAGAAUUUGGAAUUCGACAGCAUAGAAACCUCAAAAUCUCGAGAGGGCUUGCCUCA
rnacentral:lncRNA from 1 species